rnacentral:rRNA from 1 species
UGGGGAAUUUUGGACAAUGGGCGCAAGCCUGAUCCAGCAAUGCCGCGUGCAGGAUGAAGGCCUUCGGGUUGUAAACUGCUUUUGUACGGAACGAAAAGGCUCUGGCUAAUACCUGGGGCACAUGACGGUACCGUAAGAAUAAGCACCGGCUAACUACGUGCCAGCAGCCGCGGUAAUACGUAGGGUGCGAGCGUUAAUCGGAAUUACUGGGCGUAAAGCGUGCGCAGGCGGUUUUGUAAGACAGAGGUGAAAUCCCCGGGCUCAACCUGGGAACUGCCUUUGUGACUGCAAGGCUGGAGUGCGGCAGAGGGGGAUGGAAUUCCGCGUGUAGCAGUGAAAUGCGUAGAUAUGCGGAGGAACACCGAUGGCGAAGGCAAUCCCCCUGGGCCUGCACUGACGCUCAUGCACGAAAGCGUGGGGAGCAAACAGGAUUAGAUACCCCUGGUAGUCCACGCCCUAAAACGAUGUCAACUGGUUGUUGGGUCUUAUUGACUCAGUAACGAAGCUAACGCGUGAAGUUGGACCGCCUGGGGAGUACGGCCGCAAGGUUGAAACUC